UAGCCGCACACCUUUUUCAAAGCAGCACUUACGAGCGAGUGCUCACAUGCUGUUAACAGCUUCUUUAAGCUUCCUUAAGUUUGACCACUUUAAAUCUUGCGUUUACCAAAGAUGUGCUGAUAAGGUUCUUGUAAAUAUGUAAUUCAGAAUGAAAAAGCAUAAAACAUGAUUUAAUGAACAAUACGAAAAGACUAAUCAACUAAAGAAUUCUUAGUCCAGACCAAAAUGACCGAUUAGUAGACUAAUCGACUAAGAGGGGGCAGUCCUACUAGAAAUUGCAAGUUU